rnacentral:miRNA from 1 species
AGAGACUUAUAUUCCGUCGUCUAUAUAUACCCUGUAGAACCGAAUUUGUGUGAUAUAAACACAGUCACAGAUUCGAUUCUAGGGGAGUAUAUGGUCGAUGCAAAAACUUCGAAUUUUACAA